AGUGUUCUGCUAAAACAACUUUUGAACGUACACAUGUACCACAAAAAACAAGUUCCGUCCUGAGGCUAUUUGGCAGCGGCAUCGGGGCUCCGUGCGGCGCUUGGUACCGCCCCAA